GAUGAACGCUGGCUACAGGCUUAACACAUGCAAGUCGAGGGGAAACGACGGGGAAGCUUGCUUCCCCGGGCGUCGACCGGCGCACGGGUGAGUAACGCGUAUCCAACCUGCCUCUGACUGAGGGAUAACCCGUCGAAAGUCGGCCUAAUACCUCAUGGCAUCGUCUGCGGGCAUCCAACGACGAUUAAAGAUUUCAUCGGUCAGAGAUGGGGAUGCGUCUGAUUAGCUUGUUGGCGGGGUAACGGCCCACCAAGGCGACGAUCAGUAGGGGUUCUGAGAGGAAGGUCCCCCACAUUGGAACUGAGACACGGUCCAAACUCCUACAGGAGGCAGCAGUGAGGAAUAUUGGUCAAUGGGCGAGAGCCUGAACCAGCCAAGUAGCGUGCAGGAUGACGGCCCUAUGGGUUGUAAACUGCUUUUAUGCGGGGAUAAAGUGAGGGACGUGUCCUUCAUUGCAGGUACCGCAUGAAUAAGGACCGGCUAAUUCCGUG
rnacentral:rRNA from 1 species